AAUGAACGCUGGCGGCGCGCCUAAUACAUGCAAGUCGAGCGAGAAGACGUAGCAAUACGUUUGUAAAGCGGCGAACGGGUGAGGAAUACAUGGGUAACCUACCCUCGAGUGGGGAAUAACUAGCCGAAAGGUUAGCUAAUACCGCGUACGCUUCUUGGACUUCGGUUCAGGGAGGAAAGCGAUGCCGAGGGUAUCGCGCUCUUGGAUGGGCUCAUGUCCUAUCAGCUUGUUGGGAGGUAACGGCUCACCAAGGCUUCGACGGGUAGCUGGUCUGAGAGGACGAUCAGUCACACUGGCACUGCGACACGGGCCAGACUCCUACGGGAGGCAGCAGUAAGGAAUAUUGCGCAAUGGGGCGAAAGCCUGACGCAGCGACGCCGCGUGGGGGAUGAAGGUCUUCGGAUU
rnacentral:rRNA from 1 species